rnacentral:rRNA from 1 species
GUGGUUUGUCGCGUUGUUCGUGAAAUCUCACGGCUUAACUGUGAGCGUGCGGGCGAUACGGGCAGACUUGAGUACUGCAGGGGAGACUGGAAUUCCUGGUGUAGCGGUGGAAUGCGCAGAUAUCAGGAGGAACACCGGUGGCGAAGGCGGGUCUCUGGGCAGUAACUGACGCUGAGGAGCGAAAGCGUGGGGAGCGAACAGGAUUAGAUACCCUGGUAGUCCACGCCGUAAACGGUGGGUACUAGGUGUGGGUUUCCUUCCUUGGGAUCCGUGCCGUAGCUAACGCAUUAAGUACCCCGCCUGGGGAGUACGGCCGCAAGGCUAAAACUCAAAGAAAUUGACGGGGGCCCGCACAAGCGGCGGAGCAUGUGGAUUAAUUCGAUGCAACGCGAAGAACCUUACCUGGGUUUGACAUGCACAGGACGCCGGCAGAGAUGUCGGUUCCCUUGUGGCCUGUGUGCAGGUGGUGCAUGGCUGUCGUCAGCUCGUGUCGUGAGAUGUUGGGUUAAGUCCCGCAACGAGCGCAACCCUUGUCUCAUGUUGCCAGCGGGUAAUGCCGGGGACUCGUGAGAGACUGCCGGGGUCAACUCGGAGGAAGGUGGGGAUGACGUCAAGUCAUCGUGCCCCUUAUGUCCAGGGCUUCACACAUGCUACAAUGGCCGGUACAAAGGGCUGCGAUGCCGCGAGGUUAAGCGAAUCCUUUUAAAGCCGGUCUCAGUUCGGAUCGGGGUCUGCAACUCGACCCCGUGAAGUCGGAGUCGCUAGUAAUCGCAGAUCAGCAACGCUGCGG